rnacentral:rRNA from 1 species
AACGAACGCUGGCGGCAGGCUUAACACAUGCAAGUCGAACGGGUGUAGCAAUACAUCAGUGGCAGACGGGUGAGUAACACGUGGGAACCUUCCUAGGGGUACGGAACAACUCAGGGAAACUUGAGCUAAUACCGUAUACGUCCGUGAGGAGAAAGAUUUAUCGCCCUUAGACGGGCCCGCGUCGGAUUAGGUAGUUGGUGGGGUAACGGCCUACCAAGCCUACGAUCCGUAGCGGAUCUGAGAGGAUGAUCAGCCACACUGGGACUGAGACACGGCCCAGACUCCUACGGGAGGCAGCAGUGGGGAAUCUUGGACAAUGGGCGCAAGCCUGAUCCAGCCAUGCCGCGUGAGUGAAGAAGGCCUUCGGGUUGUAAAGCUCUUUUGUCAGGGACGAUAAUGACGGUACCUGAAGAAUAAGCCCCGGCAAACUUCGUGCCAGCCGCCGCCGUAA